GCUCGCUUUGGCAGUGCAUCUACUAAAUAAUUGGAAGAAUACAGAGAAGAUUAGCACAGCCCCUGCACAAGGAUGACAUGCAAAUUCAUGAAGCGUUCCAUAAGAAA